GGCCUUGACAUACUAAGAACUUUCCAGAGAUGGAUUGGUGCCUUCGGGAACUUAGAUACAGGUGCUGCAUGGCUGUCGUCAGCUCGUGUCGUGAGAUGUUGGGUUAAGUCCGCAACGAGCGCAACCCUUUUCCUUAUUUGCCAGCGGGUCAUGCCGGGAACUUUAAGGAUACUGCCAGUGACAAACUGGAGGAAGGCGGGGACGACGUCAAGUCAUCAUGGCCCUUACGGCCAGGGCUACACACGUGCUACAAUGGUCGGUACAAAGGGUUGCUACCUCGCGAGAGGAUGCUAAUCUCAAAAAGCCGAUCGUAGUCCGGAUCGCAGUCUGCAACUCGACUGCGUGAAGUCGGAAUCGCUAGUAAUCGCGGAUCAGAAUGCCGCGGUAAAUACGUUCCCGGGCCUUGUACACACCGCCCGUCACACCAUGGGAGUUUGUUGCACCAGAAGUAGGUAGUCUAACCGCAAGGAGGACGCUUACCACGGUGUGGCCGAUGACUGGGGUGAAGUCGUAACAAGGUAAGCGUAGAUGA
rnacentral:rRNA from 1 species